rnacentral:rRNA from 1 species
AAUUUUUAUGUUUUAUAAAAUUUAUUAUAAGUUUAUUUUACAUAUAAAUUUUAGUAUGAAUUUUUAAUUAUUUUAAAAAUAAUUAAUUAAAAAUUAUAGUGAGUAAAAUUAAAAAUUUAAGAAAUUAAGAUUUAGUAAUAUAAAAAUUGAUAACUAAUUUUGUGCCAGCAGUUGCGGUUAUACAAAAAUUAAAUUAAAUUAUUUCAGUAUUUAAUAAAUAAAAUAUAAUACUAAAAUAAAUAUUAAAUUAUUGGGUAAAAUUUUAAUUUAAUUAAAUUUUAAAUUUAAUUUAUGAUUUAGUAAAUUUAGCAAUAAACUAGGAUUAGAUACCCUAUUAUUAUAAAUUUAAUUAAUAAUACUAAAAUAGUAGAUAAUAAAUAUUGAAACUUAAAUAAUAUGGCGGUAUUUUAGUUCAUUUAGAGGAAUCUGUUUAAUAAUUGAUAAUCCACGAAUAAAUUUACUUGAUUUAGUAUUUUAUAUAUCGUUGUUAAAAAAAUAUUUUACAAUAAAAAUAAUAUUUUAAAAUUUUUAUGGUAAAUUAGUUCAAAUCAAGAUGUAGAUUAUAAUUAAGAAUAUAAUGGAUUACAAUAAAAUAAUUUAAAAUGAAUAAUUAGUUUUAAAAUUAAUUUAAAGGUGGAUUUAAAUGUAAUUUUAAUUAAUUUAUUAAAAUGAUUAAAAAUUGAAAUAUGUACAUAUUGCCCGUCACUUUCAUUUAAAAAUUGGAAUAAGUCGUAACAAAGUAGGAGUACUGGAAAGUGUUUCUAGAAUGAA